ACGAGUUUGGUCGGUUAGGCUUCCUCUGAGAGCGAUCAAUCCCUUCAGGGUUAUCGUACCUUGUGAAUUUUUUUUCAUUACGUUAGCAUUUGACUUCCGGCCGAAACGCGGGGCGUUGUUAUGGAACGUGAUAA
rnacentral:misc_RNA from 1 species